rnacentral:rRNA from 1 species
UACGGGGGGGGCAAGCGUUGUUCGGAAUUACUGGGCGUAAAGGGCUCGUAGGCGGCCAACUAAGUCGGAUGUGAAAUCCCCAGGCUUAACCUGGGAACUGCAUCCGAUACUGGAUGGCUUGAAUUCGGGAGAGGGAUGCAGAAUUCCAGGUGUAGCGGUGAAAUGCGUAGAUAUCUGGAGGAACACCGGUGGCGAAGGCGGCAUCCUGGACCAAUUCUGACGCUGAGGAGCGAAAGCCAGGGGAGCAAACGGG